UACGAAGGGUGCAAGCGUUACUCGGAAUUACUGGGCGUAAAGCGUGCGUAGGUGGUUCGUUAAGUCUGAUGUGAAAGCCCUGGGCUUAACCCAGGAAGUGCAUUCGAAACUCCCGAGCUGGAGUCCCGGAGAGGAAGGCGGAAUUCUCGGUGUAGAGGUGAAAUUCGUAGAUAUCGAGAGGAACAUCGGUGGCGAAGGCGGCCUUCUGGACGGUGACUGACGCUGAGACGCGAAAGCGUGGGGAGCAAACAGG
rnacentral:rRNA from 1 species